AUACGGAGGGGGCUAGCGUUGUUCGGAUUUACUGGGCGUAAAGCGCGCGUAGGCGGUAUAUCAAGUUAGGCGUGAAAGCCCCGGGCUCAACCCGGGAACUGCGCUUAUUACUGAUAAACUAGAGUCCGGGAGAGGGUGGCGGAAUUCCCAGUGUAGAGGUGAAAUUCGUAGAUAUUGGGAAGAACACCAGUUGCGAAGGCGGCCACCUGGACCGGUACUGACGCUGAGGUGCGAAAGCUAGGGGAGCAAACAGGAUUAGAUACCCCAGUAGUCC
rnacentral:rRNA from 1 species